ensembl:lincRNA
UGUUAAAAAGGAAAAUUCCCAGGCUGAAAACCUGGCAGCUUACCUCUCUUUAUCUGCCUGAGGAGAACGGCCUCCCUCCUGCUGGACAAGCAGAGCGCAAUUCUCCACACCCGGCUCAGGCCUCCGCCGCCGGAAGGAGGACUCCCUGGAGAGCGGGUCCACCUCAAGCAGUUCCUCUCCCCACUGCACCCACCGGCGCUCAUGGCCGAGCUGUUACGCCAUGUUUUUCGUGUUGUUUCUUGCAUGUCCAGUCUAUUUUCCGGGCUAAAGUGGUCAUCUCCCUCCAGCAGAGACCUGGCAGUGUCUCCUCUGGAGCCUCUCCCGCAAAGUCCCCCAAACCCCACUCCUGCGUACUUGCUCCCGCAGGGCCCGCCACCCCCGCGUACACGCUCCCGCAGGGCCCGCCACGCUCACGUACACGCUCCCGCAGGGCCCGCCACGCUCACGUACACGCUCCCGCAGGCCCCCCCUCCCGCGCCCUGAUAGACAUUAGCCCCCACGCCUGCGUACACGUUCCCCCAGAGGCCGCCACGCCCGCGUACACACUCCUGUGGAAUCCAUCACAUUGGUGUACACGCUCCGGCAGAGCCCGCCACACUCACCUAAACCCUAAGAAAAUGGAGGGCCAAGAUUGUGGAUUAAACCAAAGUCUACAUUUCCUCUCUAAAAAAGGCCUAUUCAAGUCAAGGGAACUUUUUAAGGCUCAAGCUCAAGACCUGGAGACACAGCCACCUCCGGCAUGUGUGAAGGGCCAGCUAAGCCCGGGAGUGCUGGUGAGGCUCUGCCUGGAUGCCCCCCUCGCGCCACACCUAGGCCUCAGCGGCAUCUGGAGACAGCACAUGCCUUCCUCACAUAGCCCUGUUCCUCUGGGUCUUCCAUCAUGAAGCUUCUUGGACGGAAUGUGCUUCCUCUUUGAAGAGUGUCUUCCAGGGGCUCUGACUGCCUCUUCCAAACUGAUUUCUAGGAUCCCUGCCCAGCUAUCCUCCUGGUCUCUUCACCACUGAAUUCCUGGAUUAAUUCCAUUUCUUCUUAAAUCAAUCCCACGUCAUCCUUGUUUUCUAGAUUCCUUGUAUGAUUUACUAAAGAAAAUUGGUCUUUUAAAAUCAAUGUCAAUGUAUAUGGUAAAUUUUAUUAUUCUCAACUGGUCUGAAAAUGCCUUCAUUUUCCCCUUCUCACACUUAUAAUUAGUUUGUGAAUUUGGGGUUCAAAAUCACUCUUCCUCAUCACUUCAAAGUUAUUUCUCUUUUUCUCCCUUAAGGGUAUGGUAGUUUGUAUAAUGAGAUUUUUGCAGAUCUGGUUCCUGUUUUUGUAGGGAACACUUUUUGGUUCUUUCUGGACACUUUUUGUUUUUUGUUUGAGAUGUAGUUUCACUCUUGUUGCCCAGGCUGAAGUGCAAUGGCUCAAUCUCAGCUCACUGCAACCUCUGCCUCCCGGGUUCAAGUGAUUCUUCUGCUUCAGCCUCCUGAGUAGCUGGGAUUACAGGCAUGUGCCACCAGACCCAGCUAAUUUUUGUAUUUUUAGUAGAGACAGGGUUUCACCAUGUUGGCCAGCCUGGUCUCAAACUCCUGACCUCAGGUGAUCCACCCGCCUUGGCCUCCCAAAGUGCUGGGAUUAUAGAUGUGAGCCACUGAGCCUGGCCUCUUUCUGGACACUUUUGGUAUCUUCUAGUUGAUUAUUCUUGUAAGUCUGAAUUUUUAACCAGAAUAUGAUCAUGUGCACUUCAUUUUCCAUUGAUCCUGCUCCACCCUUAGUGAGUGCUCUCAGCUUAAGGAUUUCUGCCUUUCUUCAGCUUGACAUUUUUCUUGUAUCAUGUCUUUGAUUGUUUCUCUAUCCCAUUUUCUGUUCUCUCCUAGUGUCCUUGUGAGAAGGAGAUCAGGUUCCCAACUUGACUGAUCGCAUUCCUUCAACUUCCCUUCAUAUUUUUCACCCCUUUGUCUUAAUCCUUGUUCUGAGAAAUAAUCUGGCUUUUAUCUUCAAGUUUCCGAAUUCAAUCUUUAAUUACCUUUAUUCUGUUAUUUAACUCCUUUACCUAAAACAUUCCUUCCAUCACAUAUAUAGUAUUCAAAAAAUUUUUUUAUUCAUUAUUCAGUUUUCAUAGAAGCUUUUUAAAAUUAUUUUUAGUAACCCAGGAGCAUUGAUUUUGUAUCAUUCAGACAUUUCCAGAGUUAUGUUCUCAUGUUUCCUGAAUCAUUUGUCUUCCAUGCUGAAUCAUUUGUUGGUUCUGUUCACAUUGGUUGGCUCUGUUGAUGGCACAGAAAGCCCCCUUGGUUGUUAAUUUGUGUUUGGGAGCAAAAGGCCAGGUCAGUGAGGCAUCUGCCUUUCUCACGCACUGGCAUGCACAGAGAAGCUGUACUCUCCUAAGGACAGUGCGUCAGUUUCUCAUGGAAUUCUCCUCUUCUGGCCUAGAGGACCUGCCCUUCCUUAGUCUUCCAGGGAGCCAGCUGUGUGUGCCCCAUUGCCCCUCCCUGACCCCUGGUGUUUUCUGAGAUGUUGUGUCCUCUGCUUUACUUACUCAUCCACCUGACACUCUGUCUCAUCUUUUCAUCUCCCCAACUUCAGUCAAACUCCCUGAUCUGCCCUUGGUUCUCCCUCCUGUCCUCAUUGCUUUUAUGAUUUUAUUCCCUUCUUUACAACUGAGCUAUAAUGGAAUGGGCCCUGGGCACAGCGGGUGCUGAGUGGAUGUAUUUUGUCCACCAUCUUGAACCCCAAGUUCCUAGAAUCCUAAUCCCAGGGAUUUAUCACCUUCUCCAAGUCUCUACACAGAACACCCAAGAUUUGCCCAUCCAUCUCCCUAUCUUUCCCUCUCCCUCACCUGCUGACACCUCCCUCUCUAACACUACGCAGGAAUUCCAAAUGCUUCUGACUCCCUUGCACAUAACAACUCAAGUCUCUCCAGCCGACACUUCAGACCAGUCUCCCUAACUGCAUUCAUUUAUCAACAGGGUUUAUUAGGGGGUCCACCUAACAAAACCACCAUCCACUCUUUGCAGAAACCCUGGAAACCAUCUUCAUAGAAGACAAUUAUAACUAUAAAUAACAAGUAUCUCCCUCUUGUACCUGGUUAAAAACUUGUCAGAUACCAAGAAGCCACAUUCUUUGGCUUUGCUAAAUCCCUCCACAAAAGAUGGGAGAGCAAGCUUUCUUUGCCCCCCAAGAUUAACCCAAUGAGCAGUAUUUCCUGACAUAGUUACCAGGGAAAGUCGCUGCCAGGGUAAACCCGUCUGGUGCAGAACAGGAUGGUGGCAGAAUGUGCCUGUGACUGUAGCCCAUAGGCAGGUCCAGGAUUCAAGCGCAUCACUCCUCUCUCUGGAAAUACAAGCCCCAGAUACAGCACUCUGGAGGAAGUUCGUAGUCUAUUCCUGGGUUAAAGUAUAAAAUUGAAUAUUCAUUGUUUUGAGUGAGUGAAUUAGCAUUUAUUCAUUUCCUGUAACAUCUUGAAUGCAUUGUAAGGCGGAUACAUUCCCUCUGUUCUCCCGCUGACAUUUCUGACCCCAGUCAGUUGCCUGAAAAAUGCACUUUACUGAUCACAGGACAUCAGAUAGCAGAAUAAAAUGGAUGAACAUAUCAAUUUCUGCUGUUAGAAAAAACUCCCAAAGCUCCUGCCCAUUUGGAGAUGAAUCUGUAUGAGCAUAACUGAAAACAAAAAUGGGUUUGCAACUUGCAAUGUGGCAGCAUGUACUGAUGGGGGUGGUAUAAAUAUCUUUGUGUUACCAGGGCUACAGGCAUCCGAUAACCUCAUGGGUUCCAUGAUUUGCUGGAAGGGUCCCUGGAGGAGGGCACCGUCCAGGACGUUGUGAUGUGCUCACCUCUGGCCGUGGGCGGCUGAGCCCUGAGGCCUCCAGGGUGAGCUGGACCGCACUCCGUCUGGAGCUCUGUCUGCUCGACUGCCCUCAGAGCGUCCGUCAGUUGGCUUCCAUAACUCACUUUAUUUGCUCUGACUCAAUCGGUUGUGCACAUCAGGGAUUUUUAUUGACCAGGCAGUAUCCGGGGCUGGAUCUGGACAGGACUGUGUCCACUCUUUGUGAGAUGUUUCCAUUUCGGCAGGAAACGUUCCCACGUACGCGUUCUGGAGUUCUGGCUGAAGAACCUUUAAUCAUGUUGUUUAGAAAAUGGGUCUGUUCACCUUUCCCUGGCUCGUUGUCAGCCUGUCUUUUCGCUAUAUCCAUUUUGGUGUAAGACACAUCUGUUCCCUCCGACCUGUUCGCCUUUACAUGCGCGUCCUGGCCUGCGAUUAAUUUUCAUUUCCAUGGCUGUGCCAUAUGGGAGUGACCACGUUGUUGAGAGCUUGUUAGCCAGAUGCCCCCGAGGGAGACAUUGAGAGUCCAGUUAUUGGACGUUAGAUUAAAGGAGGCCGGUCAGGUUCGUGUCUGCUGUGGGCCUGGUCAGCCGGGGUCUGCAGCUUAGCUGCUGGGGGCUUUUCUCCUGGUGACCGGGCGGGAGUUUGCAGCUCGGAAGUGCUGCCCGCAGGCAGAAGCCGGGUGGGUCUGGGUGCAUCUCUGAGAGAAUUGUUCAUAUCCUGUGUUCAGAAAAGAGUCCAGUACUUCACUUUCCUUUCUUAUCAAAUGCUUGUUACAAUCUUAAGACGUAGAGGCCGUUGUUACUGAUGACCAGUGCUUGCUGCCAGCCGAGGUCUCCCAGGUGAGCUGGAGUGAGUCCCAACCCUGGUGACUCCGAAUGGGGCUUUAUGUGGAGAUGACAUCUUCGCACAGGUAAUCACGUCAAAACGAGGUCAGCACUGUGCUCCCUCAUCCAACAUGACCCGUGUCCUCCUGAGAGGAGGGAAUGCGGAGACACCGUGUAGUGACUGGUGUCAUGCUCACGGGCCACAGGCGGAGGGCGUUCUCAAAACAGGAGAGGCCUGGAGUCAGUCCCUCUCUGGCGCCUUCCGAGGGAGCCUGGCCCUGCUGGCACCUUGAUCUUGGAUUUCUGGCCUCCAGAACCAUGAGAGGAUACAUUCCUGCCAUUGAUUUGUUCCUUGGUUUGUGGGACUUUGUGAGAUUGGCCCUAGAACUCAUGCCUGAGGCCACGGGCCUGAGAUGGCACAGCCGAUGGGUCAAGCAGGGUGCAGAGG